rnacentral:rRNA from 1 species
CAAAGGGGGCGACCCCGGUCACGGAUGGGCAUGCGGCGCAUUAGGUAGUUGGUGGGGCAACGGCCCACCAAGCCGACGAUGCGUAGGGGUUCUGAGAGGAAGGUCCCCCACAUUGGAACUGAGACACGGUCCAAACUCCUACGGGAGGCAGCAGUGAGGAAUAUUGGUCAAUGGCCGGAAGGCUGAACCAGCCAAGUCGCGUGAGGGAAUAAGGCCCUACGGGUCGUAAACCUCUUUUGCCAGGGAGCAAUGCCGUCCACGUGUGGACGGAAGGAGAGUACCUGGAGAAAAAGCAUCGGCUAACUCCGUGCCAGCAGCCGCGGUAAUACGGAGGAUGCGAGCGUUAUCCGGAUUUAUUGGGUUUAAAGGGUGCGUAGGCGGCCUGCCAAGUCAGCGGUAAAAUUGCGGGGCUCAACCCCGUACAGCUGUUGAAACUGCCGGGCUCGAGUGGGCGAGAAGUAUGCGGAAUGCGUGGUGUAGCGGUGAAAUGCAUAGAUAUCACGCAGAACCCCGAUUGCGAAGGCAGCAUACCGGCGCCCGACUGACGCUGAGGCACGAAAGUGCGGGGAUCAAACAGGAUUAGAUACCCUGGUAGUCCGCACAGUAAACGAUGAAUGCUAGCUGUCCGGGGGGAUUGACCCCUGG